rnacentral:rRNA from 1 species
UGGGGAAUAUUGCACAAUGGGCGCAAGCCUGAUGCAGCAACGCCGCGUGAACGAUGAAGGUCUUCGGAUCGUAAAGUUCUGUUGCAGGGGAAGAUAAUGACGGUACCCUGUGAGGAAGCCCCGGCUAACUACGUGCCAGCAGCCGCGGUAAUACGUAGGGGGCUAGCGUUAUCCGGAUUUACUGGGCGUAAAGGGUGCGUAGGUGGUCUUUCAAGUCGGUGGUUAAAGGCUACGGCUCAACCGUAGUUAGCCUCCGAAACUGGAAGACUUGAGUGCAGGAGAGGAAAGUGGAAUUCCCAGUGUAGCGGUGAAAUGCGUAGAUAUUGGGAGGAACACCAGUAGCGAAGGCGGCUUUCUAGACUGAAACUGACACUGAGGCACGAAAGCGUGGGUAGCAAACAGG